rfam:Glycine max cultivar Williams 82 chromosome 15, whole genome shotgun sequence.
CUGCCAAUGAUGAUAACAUUUACCAUAACCAUCUUUCGGGACUGAAUGGCUUUGUUAUGCCUUGAUGUUAUUCUGCAAUUCUGAGGUCU